UAUGUAUUUUUCAUGAACACUGUACAUGUGUAUAAAUACAAAAGUGAUGAAAUCAAAACUAAUCCUAUGCAUACACUUGUCAUCUAUCCCAUUACCUAUCAUUAUCAAUAUUGUAACAACCUAGUAUAACAUAAAAAUGAGGAAUAAAAUCUGUUUCUAUCCUAUACAACAAUGUACACGUACACCCUAUAUAAAAAUGCAAUGCUUAGCUUUAUUUCGUUGGGCCCAAGGUGUUGUUAUUAAUUGGGCCUAGUCUUGCCAAAUCUGCUUGUUGUGUGCUUGAGCCCAAUUCCUCUUGAUCUUUUGUCCGUGUGUCCAUUAGGCCCAAUUUACUUGUCUUCUUCAUUUGUUCUUGACUAAGUGAAUGUUUGACCAAAUCAGUUUGUCGAGGUUCUUCAUGAAUGAGAGAUGAGUGGUGUGAAUCAUAGAUCCCAAUACUCCCCCCCCCCGGUCAAGUUGGAGGGUGGUGAAACAAUCCCCAACUUGUUUAGAAGGGAUCGAUGAACUGGACCGGAAAGUGGUUUAGUGAGGAUAUCAGCCAGUUGUGAAUUGGAAGGGACAUAAUUGAGAGAAAUCAAGCCGGCAAGGUAUUGUUGACGCACAAAGUGACAAUCAAGAUCUACAUGCUUAGUGCGUUCAUGGAAGACAGGGUUUUUAGCUAUAUGGACUGCAGCUUGGCUGUCGGAGAGAAGAGCAACAGGCAAUGGGGAAGGAACAAAGAAAUCAUCAAGGAGACGAACUAACCAUGUUAUCUCAGCUGUAACUCUGCGCAUGGAGCGAUACUCCGCUUCUGCAGAUGAAAGAGAGACUAAGGACUGUUUCUUGGACUUCCAAGAAAUGGGUGAACCACCAAGAGUGAUAUAAUAACCACUAAUUGACCGACGGGAGUCUAGACAUCUUCCCCAAUCAGAGUCACAAAGGCAAUGAGGUUAAAAGAUGAACUUGAAGAUAGAAAAAUCCCCAAACCUAGAUCUAAAAGAAGAUAUCGAAGAGAUCGAAAAGCUACAUCAUAGUGAGGUUGACAAGGAUUAUGCAUGAAUUAACUCAGAUGUUGGACGGCAAAUGAGAGAUCUGGACGAGUGUGAGUGAGGAAAUUCAAUUUUCCAAGUAAUGUGAGAUAGGAAGUAGGAUUCGAAAUGGGCUGCCCAUCAUCAAUACGAAGUUUUGUGGUAGGAUUUAAAGGAGAUAAGACUGGUUUUAAGUCGGUGCAUUCAAACUCACUUAGCAGAUCUAAGUUGAUACAGGAGAGGACCAUUACUUUGUCCAAACCACUCUUUAAGCUCUUCCCAGAUUUGCCUUGCUGUUUUUGAAUAUAAAACACUCUCUUCUAUUUCCUUUGAAAGAGAGUUUAGUAUCCAUGAAAUCACCAUGUUGUUGCAUCUGCUCCAAGAUCUGCAGGAUUCAGAGGCAGCAGUGGGUUGAAGGAUGGUUCCAUCAAUGGAACCAACCUUGUUCUUUGCUGAUAAGGCUAUGAGAAUGCCUCUUCUCCAACCACCAUAACCUUUUCCAUCAAAGGUGGUGUUCACAAGUAUCAUUCCAGGAGAAUCAGAGGCAUGGAUGUAAAAAGGAUGAGUGGAAUCGAUGACCCCAAGUUCAGUUGAAGCAGCAACACCAUCAGAGGUCUUAGCAGCAACAUCUGAGGUCUAUGCUACAUUGAGAGCUUCAAUGGUUUGAGUAUUUUCUAUGGUUGUGUCUGCCAUUGUAGCAGUUGAAGCUUAAAAGAAGGAAAUGGAAAGAAGAUAACUUGAGGAAGAAGAAACGAAAGCUAAAGGGGAGGAUCGCAUCCCUAAAGCUCUGAUACCAUGUUAAACAAUAGAGAGAAAUAUGGAAAUUUUAUGUGUAUUUUUCAUGAACACUGUACAUGUGUAUAAAUACAAGAGUGAUGAAAUCAAAACUAAUCCUAUGCAUACACUUGUCAUCUA